rnacentral:lncRNA from 1 species
UCAACUGGCACCUUCUUGCCGUCACCCACAUAGAUGUAUCUUUCACCAUCAUUUGAUUUUCAUUAGUAAUUUCAGGAUCCUGAUUGGAGAGAUUUUCGAGCCAUCAGGCAACCCUGCAUAGAUAUACUUAUGUGAGUAAUAGCAGCUGAAUCUACCCACCAAGUAUCCUUAGGUACCGAAAUUAAAUUAACUUCAGAACAAACAAGAGAAAGAAAUGUACCUUUUUUCGCACGCCAAGCGUNNN